rnacentral:rRNA from 3 species
AGACCCGAAACCCGGUGAUCUAGCCAUGGGCAGGUUGAAGGUUGGGUAACACUAACUGGAGGACCGAACCGACUAAUGUUGAAAAAUUAGCGGAUGACCUGUGGCUGGGGGUGAAAGGCCAAUCAAACCGGGAGAUAGCUGGUUCUCCCCGAAAGCUAUUUAGGUAGCGCCUCGUGAAUUCAUCUCCGGGGGUAGAGCACUGUUUCGGCUAGGGGGCCAUCCCGGCUUACCAACCCGAUGCAAACUGCGAAUACCGGAGAAUGUUAUCACGGGAGACACACGGCGGGUGCUAACGUCCGUCGUGAAGAGGGAAACAACCCAGACCGCCAGCUAAGGUCCCAAAGUCAUGGUUAAGUGGGAAACGAUGUGGGAAGGCCCAGACAGCCAGGAUGUUGGCUUAGAAGCAGCCAUCAUUUAAAGAAAGCGUAAUAGCUCACUGGUCGAGUCGGCCUGCGCGGAAGAUGUAACGGGGCUAAACCAUGCACCGAAGCUGCGGCAGCGACACUGUGUGUUGUUGGGUAGGGGAGCGUUCUGUAAGCCUGCGAAGGUGGCCUGUGA